CCUACGGGUGGCAGCAGUGAGGAAUAUUGGUCAAUGGGCGCAAGCCUGAACCAGCCAAGUCGCGUGAAGGAAGAAGGCACUUUGUAUUGUAAACUUCUUUUGUCGGGGAAUAAAGGCAGAGACGCGUCUCUGUAUGAAUGUACCCUAAGAAUAAGCAUCGGCUAACUCCGUGCCAGCAGCCGCGGUAAUACGGAGGAUGCGAGCGUUAUCCGGAUUUAUUGGGUUUAAAGGGUGCGCAGGCGGGGGAUAAAGUCAGCGGUAAAAUGUCGGGGCUUAACCCCGGCCGGCCGUUGAAACUGGUUUGCUAGAGAUGGAGAGAGGUAGGCGGAAUGCGUGGUGUAGCGGUGAAAUGCAUAGAGAUCACGCAGAACUCCGAUUGCGAAGGCAGCUUAC
rnacentral:rRNA from 1 species